rnacentral:ribozyme from 1 species
UGUCCAGCAACUCCUAUUCCUACCUCCUCGUGGUACCGGCCGGAAACUAUGAGCAACCUUAGGGAAGAUCGGUUAACCAACACUGGUGGAAACUUUAGUCGAAGGCUGACAGGAAGGG